UCAGGCAAUCGCUGGUAAUUUUUAUUAUUAGAGGAAAGUCCAUGCUCGCACAAUCUGCGAUGAUUGUAGUGUUUGUGCCAAUCUAAAAAAUAAGGUUGGGCAGUUUAUAACUGACGGCGGAAUUUUAUUUCUAAGGUUUAAAACUAUGAAAUAAAUCCCUAAGGUGUCACAGUGACGAAGUCAACUUGGAAACUUGUUGAGUGGAACGAGAUAAACCCCACAAGCGAGAAACCCAAAUUUGGUAGGGGAACUAGUUAUAUCAAAAUGAAGAUAUCACUAGAUACAAUAUAUGUAUAGAUAAAUGAUUGCCACCUAGUAAUAGGGACAGAACAUGGCUUAUCG
rnacentral:RNase_P_RNA from 1 species